UGAGGCUGGUCGAAAGACCCUGGUCCACCGAACGGCGGGGGAAUCCCCC
rnacentral:sRNA from 12 species